rnacentral:rRNA from 1 species
AACACGGACCAAGGAGUCUAGCAUGUGCGCGAGUCAUUGGGAAUAACUAAACCUAAAGGCGUAAUGAAAGUGAAGGUCCGCCUAGCGCGGACCGAGGGAAGAUGGGCGGUCACGUUUUUCGUGCCGCCCCGCACUCCCGGGGCGUCUCAUUCUCAUUGCGAGAAGAGGCGCACCAAGAGCGUACACGCUGGGACCCGAAAGAUGGUGAACUAUGCCUGGUCAGGACGAAGUCAGGGGAAACCCUGAUGGAGGUCCGUAGCGAUUCUGACGUGCAAAUCGAUCGUCGGAACUGGGUAUAGGGGCGAAAGACUAAUCGAACCAUCUAGUAGCUGGUUCCCUCCGAAGUUUCCCUCAGGAUAGCUGGCGCUCGUCGCCUACGAGUCUCAUCCGGUAAAGCGAAUGAUUAGAGGCAUUGGGGUCGAAACGGCCUCAACCUAUUCUCAAACUUUAAAUGGGUGAGAUCUCCGGCUUGCUCGAACUUAUGAAGCCGCGAGACACGGAUCAGAGUGCCAAGUGGGCCAUUUUUGGUAAGCAGAACUGGCGCUGUGGGAUGAACCAAACGCCGAGUUAAAGCGCCUAAAUCGACGCUUAUGGGAUACCAUGAAAGGCGUUGGUAACUUAAGACAGCAGGACGGUGGCCAUGGAAGUCGGAAUCCG